ensembl:lncRNA
CUCAGCAUAUCCUCUGUUUUCUCUUCCUCGGUCUCUCCCUGUGUAUCCGCACUUGAACCUUUACACCUCUCUGUGGUACAGAUGGUUUCAUUUUAUACGAGAUAAAACCACGUUUGGUGGAACUGAUUAAACAGAGAACAACAUCCCCAUCUGCCAUUUAUUCCCAUAUAAAAUUGCUUGGGCAGAUGCUGACAUCUUUGGACAUGAUUGAUUCACCUCUGACUGGAGCACAAGGGGUGGGGGAGGCUCUCAUAGGGCUCCAGCUGUCUGGCCAACAUGUACACACACACAUACACACACACAGUCACUGGUUUCAGCUCAUAUACUCUUCUGAUGAGAGAUGAAUGCUGUUAAGCAGAAGCGUUAGCUUUAGCCCAGAGGCAUGAUGGGAGAUGUAAUGCUGGUUGCAGCGUUCACUCCCAAGAGAACCAAAUCAGUCUCCCCUGUCUCUAGUCCCAUAACCCAAGUCUCUUUCCUCCUCUAACCCUCUUUACAGAGAGAAAACCACCCCAGACAAACCUCUUAAAUUGGCUUCAUCUCCAUCUAUAGUUGGAUUAUACAGUGAAUGUAGCGACAGUUAUUUUGAUAGCAGCAGAUGUAGCUGAGCGCAGAGGCUUUGUUAUGUAUGAGCUUGAAUAUGCCAGCGCUGGUCUUUAAAGAGCCUGUCACCUAGUGAUUUGACAUUGGGUGGGCGCCUGUUUAACAAAACAACCUUAAACAAGCUUAGCUUUAUUCAGGGUUAUUUGUUAAGACACCUCAUCAAGUUGGGUGAAUUUGCAUAUUAAUUAAAUUUGUAGCUGCUGCUUUAAGGUGACAGAUUUCAGUGUGGUGUCUGCAGGCGACUCACCUGAACACAGCAGACAAGGGCUUUUUUAACUAGCAGAAAAUUGUUUCAAGUUUGGGAGAUAUAACACGUUUAAACCUACAUAGGGUGGAUGGUUUUAGGAAGGGGGAGAGAGAAAAAUCAAGUUGUGUAUAAUUCGGUCUUAUUAUCAUCCCACAGGCAUCCUGCAAUCCUUUUUUUUUUUUGUGGGUAGUUUUAAUCUUUUUUUCUGUAAAUAUAUCCUACACAUGGUUGUAUAGAUUGAAAAUCUUUAUUAAAUAAUACAACAUUUCACUCAGAGACCUUCAUCAAGCAUGUCUCACUCUUCAGAAAUGCCCGUUGAAGGUUUCUGAUUGAAAUGCUGUAUUAUUCAAUAACAAUUUGGAAGCUAUAUGACAGUGAGCAGGAAUUUUUUUCUAUUCAAUUUUUCCAUUCAAUUUAUUGUGCCCAACGUACCUGUCCAUGACCAUCUAGGAGUGUGAGAGAUGUUUAUUUAUUUUUUUCUACAUAUUUUCUCAUCA